GCUCAUCUGCGAAAGCUGUACAAAGAAGUGACCAUCAUGCAAGUGUUGGACCAUCCUAAUAUCGAAAAUUUUUACGAAGUUAUCGAAUCCAAGGACCAACUUUACAUUGUGCUGGAGUAUGUAAGAGGAGCACAGGAAAUCUCCAAAAAUAUCUGAUAGAUCAUGGCCUAAUGGAGGAGAAGAAAGCCCAUCACAUAUUCAGUCAGAUGGUGUUGGUGUUACAUUACUGUCAGAAAUAUAUUGCACACCGAGAUGUAAAGAUGGGAGAAUAAA